UUCUUUGCAUUAUGUCGUAAGCCUUGCUCAAAGCACAUAAAUAGUCAGAUUGAGAGCUGUAGCACCACAGACACCCUUUGAAUCAGAAAUGUUUGGCUAUUGCAAGGAAAGGAGGAUGCUCCCAGAGAUAAGGUCUGUUUUUCAGCGACAGCUUUGUUUUUCAGACAGGACUAUCUGAAUGCCAACCAUCUGGAAGUCCCAGAGGCAUGACCAGAGCCCAGGAGUAGUCAUGCAGUUCUGUAUGUCAUGGACGCAGUGCCAUUAAUAGGAUCUCCUUUUCACAGACAGAUCUUUGAAUAUGCAGAAUUCCGUUAGAUCAAACCAUUGCUUCAGGCGUCAGAAGGAAAAUACUGCACGCACAAGAAGUUUCAGGAACACUGUACAGAAAUGGGACUGAUCCCACCUUGACCCAUCUGGUAUGUGUCAGAAACCUUUUUUUGCUUUUAUCCGAGGACAGCAAAGUGUUGCUGCGCUC